rfam:Cricetulus griseus cell line CHO-K1, whole genome shotgun sequence.
GCCCGGCUAGCUCAGCCGGUAGAGUAUGAGACUCUUAAUCUCAGGGUUGUGGGUUCGUACCUCACGUUGAGUG